rnacentral:rRNA from 1 species
UACGUAGGUGGCAAGCGUUAUCCGGAAUUACUGGGCGUAAAGCGCACGCAGGCGGCGCGUUAAGUCUGACGUGAAAGAACCUGGCUUAACUGGGGGAGGUCGUUGGAGACUGGCGGGCUUGAGGACAUGAGAGGGGUGCGGAAUUCCCGGUGUAGUGGUGGAAUGCGUAGAGAUCGGGAGGAACACCAGUGGCGAAAGCGGCACCCUGGCAUGAACCUGACGCUCAGGUGCGAAAGCGUGGGGAGCGAACGGG